CUCUGCAAAUAAAUCACACCCAGGUGUGCAGGACAGACAGCAAGGCCUGAAUCCCACAGGUCCCAGCCUAGCAUCAGCAGUAGGAGCUUUGAGUGGGGGAUCCUCACAGCACCAACAGCAGAUGUGAGCCAGGGGAUGAGCACAGGAUUUAAAUUCCUUCUCCCACAGUGACUUCCCUCUGGCUCUUGCCCGUGCCAAGAUGUGAUGGGCAAACAAGAACUGUGUUUGGAGUGCUGCAGAGCUCUCAGCAUGACCAAGGUACCCUCCCUGUCAGCUGCAGGCACAUUAAAUGCUGAACUGUGAAAAUGCAAUUUUGGCUGCAGUGUGGGGAUGAAUGUAAAGAAAAAUAUAAAUCCACGUGGACUGCACCCUCAGGGCUCUGAUGGGACUCAAAACCACCCUCAAUGGGGCAGGAAAAACUGACAGUACUGAUAGGAGAACUGUUAAAAAAAUCUUGGUGUGUGAGGCCAGUAGCUCUGCUGACUGCUUUUUGGGUGAAAGCCAUUUACUAACUGGACAUCCUUCCCAAUAUGGGAAUCUCCUGAAAGACCCACUGUGAUUUCAAAGGAGUCCUAACAGAGCAGCAGCUCAAUGUUUGCAUUCCCUCUGCACCACACAAACAUCCCAGAGCAAAGAAAUCCAAGGACAAGCUGGGUUGUGGGCAUCACCCAGGAGUCCCCCUCCAGCCCAAAUCCUCAGCACUGAGUCUGAUCUCCAAGAGAGGGCUCUCGCAGGCUCGGCAUGCAUCCUACAUCAAGUGCUAAAACUGGGCUUCCUUUUCUCAUGCACACUUUUAUCCCACUUGUAAAUCUUCAGAAUUAAAAUUUGCUUUGCAAAUACUCUACCUGCUGGCUGAGCAAUAAGCAGCACAGGUAAGAGUCAGCUGUGUUUCACACCAAACUACUCAACUAACAAAAAAACACCCCAAACCCCAGAAUUACACUUUUCUUUCAUAGUUUGACAGCAAUAAAA